GGAAGGCAGAAACGUAAAAAUGAAAUGGAAAGAAAAAAAAUAUAGUUGUGCACAGUUUAUAAACAAUGUUUAUUUCUGCUGUUUUGCUUCCGUUUCGUAUUCUUUUAUUUUUCCUUUUUUUAAUUCUCUUUUACAAUCAUGGGAGAAGCCUAUAACUUGAUUGAAAAAUCUUGCGCAUUGUGUGUGAAUGUCAAAUGAGUUUUAAACACAUACAUAUGCAUACGUGUACAUUAUGUAUAUAUAUAUACACAUCUUUUUCAUUUUAUCUUACUUUAUAUAAGGCAGGGUAAACCAGGAUUGAAAUUUCACUAAUUUGUAUUAUAUUAAUUGUAUAUUAUGAUUGUAAUUUUUUCUUUACAUUAAUAGCUGUGACACAUUAAUACCUAUGACACAUUUUAAAAUAUUUAAGUUCUUCUAUUUAUACAAAAUGUAGAUACAUAUUUUUUUUCUUGGUUUUCCCUUCUUUUCUCUCAUUCAUUUAAUGGGAUCUAUAAAGGCACAUUAUAGGACUUUCUGUGUGUACAUAUAUAUACAUAUGUUGAUGUGUAUCCCUCUACAUAUAUUAUAUAUACAUACAUAUAUUAUAUAUACAGAUGUUUACAUACUUUCAAAGAGAUAUGAUAUCUGAAUAUUUUCCUCUUUCGACCUGA